rnacentral:rRNA from 1 species
UACAGAGGUGGCGAGCGUUAUUCGGAAUUAUUGGGCGUAAAGGGCGCGUAGGCGGCCAAGCAAGUCCUGGGUGAAAUCCCUCGGCUCAACCGAGGAACUGCCUCGGAAACUGCAUGGCUUGAGGCCGGGAGAGGGUAGCGGAAUUCCCAGUGUAGCGGUGAAAUGCGUAGAUAUUGGGAGGAACACCGGUGGCGAAGGCGGCUACCUGGACCGGUUCUGACGCUGAUGCGCGAAAGCGUGGGGAGCAAACAGGG